UUCCUUCCGGUCAUCAAGAGACUGUACAGUCUCGAUGACCGGAAGGGUUUCCUUCCGGUCAUCGAGAGACUGUACAGUCUUGAUGACCGGAAGGGA
rnacentral:miRNA from 1 species